rnacentral:ncRNA from 2 species
ACGCAACAUAAAGCGCCUGGACUACUUUCGAAAACAAGUAGUUGACGAGGAGGAGGUUUAUCGAUCAAGUCGGCGGAUGCCUCCCGGUUGCACACCUCAACUGCAUCGUUUUUUUCAGAAAACAAAGGGGCGACCUUUUGUACAAAGGAGAAGAACAAGGUGAC